rnacentral:rRNA from 1 species
AACGAACGCUGGCGGCAGGCUUAAUACAUGCAAGUCGAGGGGCAGCACGGUUAGCAAUAACUGGUGGCGACCGGCGCACGGGUGCGUAACACGUAUACAAUCUACCUUAAACAGGGGGAUAGCCUUUCGAAAGAGAGAUUAAUACCCCCGUAAUAAAUUGAACGGCAUCGUUUGAUUUUGAAAGCUCCGGCGGUUUGAGAUGAGUAUGCGUCUGAUUAGCUAGUUGGUGAGGUAACGGCUCACCAAGGCGACGAUCAGUAGGGGAUCUGAGAGGACUAACCCCCCACACUGGUACUGAGACACGGACCAGACUCCUACGGGAGGCAGCAGUAAGGAAUAUUGGUCAAUGGAGGCAACUCUGAACCAGCCAUGCCGCGUGCAGGAUGACGGCCCUAUGGGUUGUAAACUGCUUUUAUACAAGAGAAAACCCUGGUACGUGUACCAGGUUGAUAGUAUUGUAAGAAUAAGCAUCGGCUAACUUCGUGCCAGCAGCCGCGGUAAU